rnacentral:lncRNA from 1 species
CCAACCUAAUCGAUAGAAAAAUCUACAUUUAUUAAACUCUUUUUUACGUAAUAUCUGAAUCAGUUCUAAGCAGAUAUGAUAAUAAAAAUUUAGCAUCCGACAUAUAUCCGUAUCUGAAUCCGUAUUUGAAAAAACAAUAUUGUUACAGAUAUGAUUUCCUCAAAAUAUUCAACCUGAUCAGUUUUCACCCCUACUGCUGGAUCGGUGUUCUCUGUCAAAAUUUUAAUACAAUAAAACUGAAAAAGAAAACUAAAAUUUGUGUAUCAUGAUAAACGAUUAACUAAAUUGUUUCUUUGAUAUAUAAGAUUUUAUGGUUUA